GACGAACGCUGGCGGCGUGCCUAAUACAUGCAAGUCGAACGCAGUGGGGACGGGUGAGUAACACGUGGGUAACCUCCCCCUCAGCGGGGAUAACACUUGGAAACAGGUGCUAAACCGAUACUGCUGGAUGGACCCUCGGUGCAUUAGCUAGUUGGUGAGGUACCGGCUCACCAAGGCCACGAUGCAUAAGCGACCUGAGAGGGUAAUCGGCCAAACUGGGAGUGAGAAACGGCCCAGACUCCUACGGGAGGCAGCAGUAGGGAAUCUUAGGCAAUGGAGGAAAGUCUGACCGAGCAACGCCGCGUAAGUGAAGAAGGUUUUCGGAUCGUAAAACUCUGUUGUUAGAGAUGCGGUAUCUAACCAGAAAGCCACGGCUAACUACGUGCCAGCAGCCGCGGUAAUUC
rnacentral:rRNA from 1 species